UACGUAGGCAGCGAGCGUUGUUCGGAGUUACUGGGCGUAAAGGGUGUGUAGGCGGUUCUUUAAGUUUGGUGUGAAAUCUCCCGGCUCAACCGGGAGGGUGCGCCGAAUACUGAGGGACUCGAGUGCGGGAGAGGAAAGUGGAAUUCCUGGUGUAGCGGUGAAAUGCGCAGAUAUCAGGAAGAACACCCGUGGCUAAGGCGGCUCUCUAGUACGGUACUGACGCUGAGACGCGAAAGCGUGGGGAGCGAACAGG
rnacentral:rRNA from 1 species